CGGCCCACCGCGUCCCGCCCCAAACUCACACACACAGCCACAACCCCUUCCUCUGAGCCCUGAGGGGAGAUGGAGAGGCAACUGGCUCUUCAACUGGAUCAAGCUGCUGUUGUUCUAUUGGAGGUGAAACCCCUCAGAGAGAGAGAGAGAGAAUAGGACCCAUUAACGCUUCACCCCCGUACCCCUUACCCAUCUGCCCAACUUCCCCCCCAUCUGCCCCACAUCCCCCUUUAUGUUGCCUUUUUGCACUGGACCUAACACGCUUUACCAACUGAACCUGACUGGACCCAACUGGACUCAACUAGAUCAGAUCAGACCUAACCGGAUUAAACCUGACAUAACCGGACCUAACUGGAUCAAACCAGACCUAACCGGAUCAAACCAGACCUAAUUGGAUCAAACCAGACCUAACUUGAUCAAACUGGACCAAACUUGGUCAAACCGGACUUAGCUGGACAUGGCUGAUUGUAUUCUCAGACCCUCGUGCCUGUCUUGUCGACAGACCCACAAUGCUUUGCGACCCAGCUCCCGUGGCGUCUUGGAGGACCUCGGGGAGACCACUUUUCCCAGCCAACGAGAUUACGCUCAGUCGAACUGGAGUUCUGGAUGGACAGAGAAAGAGAAUGAAAGAGACAGAUGAAUAGAUUGAAACAGAGAGAGAGAGAGAAAUGGACAGAGGAAGAAGGUAUACUCUCUAUCUCUCUCUUAGGAGGAGUGAUGAGCUGUGAUGUCUUCUCUGCACUGACAGACAGAUAGGGACGUGAAUGUGUGCAUAGAUACACACACACAGGCUACUGUAGGUAUUUAUUAGAAUGAUAUGCAGUAUAUGAACAACUAUACUAAUAAAUGAUGGUGUUUGUUGCAUUUUAA